rfam:Picea glauca, whole genome shotgun sequence.
CGACCUCAGAUCAGGCGGGACUACCCGCCGGAUUUAAGCAUAUUAAUAAGCGGAGGAAAAGAAAACAACCGUGAUUCCCCCAGUAGCGGCGAGCGAACAGGGAAAAGCCCAUCGCCGAAUCCCGCCGCGCACUUUUCGUGUUGCGGCACGUAUGGGAGUUGUGGCGUACGGGCCGGCCUCGUUGCCGGGGCGCACGCGACGGUCCAAGUCUCCCUUGAACGGGGCCAUGGCCCGCAGAUGGUGCCAGGCCAGUAGAGGCCGUCGCAGCGCUCCGGGAUCGGACCGCGCCUUCGAGUCGGGUUGCUUGAGAGUGCAGCCCGAAGCGGGUGGUAAACUCCAUCUAAGGCUAAAUACGGCCACGAGACCGAUAGUGGACAAGUACCGUGAGGGAAAGUUGAAAAGAACUUUGAAGAGAGAGUUCAUAAGAACGUGAAACCGUUCGGGUGUAAACGGACAGAGCCCGCGAGUCCACGCCGGGCGAAUUCACGGUCGGUCACGGCCGGCCGGAUCUUUCGCCCGGUUCACGGACGUCGCGACUCGUUGGGCGCCGGCCGAAGGGCCCGGGUGGCGGUUCUGCGCGGCGGCAGCGCUCCGGCGUUACCGUCCCGUGCCGAACCCCGGUGCUCCUGGUCGGCUCGCCCGACGGCACGAACCGUCGACGCGGCCCCGUCGCAGGCGGGGUCCCGUCGGUCGGCGACGAGUUUCGGGCUACUUUCCGACCCGUCUUGAAACACGGACCAAGGAGUCUAACGUGUGCGCGAGUCAACGGUGAACAUGCAAAUGUACAACGAAAAACCACGUUUGGCGCAAUGAAAGUGAAUUAUUUUACGGACGAUGGCCUAGCGACCGAACCCACCGGCGUUCAAAGUCGCGCUGGUCCGCAGUCCGGGGGCGUCUCCGCCAGGUCGGCUUCGGCCGUCCGGGGGCGCACCCAUAGCGCACACGUUGGUACCCGAAAGAUGGUGAACUAUGCCUGGCCAGGAUGAAGUCAGGGGAAACCCUGAUGGAGGUCCGCAGCGAUUCUGACGUGCAAAUCGAUCGUCUGAGCUGGGUAUAGGGGCGAAAGACUAAUCGAACCAUCUAGUAGCUGGUUCCAUCCGAAGUUUCCCUCAGGAUAGCUGGCGCCGAUGUGUCCCGCCCGUUCGCGGGCGUAAGGACGCCGGUGGGACUCCGCGCUGUACGGCGCGGUAACAACACGCUCGUAACACGGAGGAUGUCUCAUACGGUAAAGCGAAUGAUUAGAGGACAUUGGGGCCGAAACGACCUCAACCUAUUCUCAAACUAUAAAUGGGUGAGAUCGCCGGCUUUACCUGGUACACCGCGUGAACCGCGUGCGAAGCCGGCGACGGAACCCUAGGCGCUUAGUGGGCCAUUUUUGGUAAGCAGAACUGGCGCUGCGGGAUGAACCGAACGCCGAGUUAAGGCGCCGAAAUCGACGCGUAUUCAGAGACCAUGAAAGGCGUUGGUUGCUGAUGACAGCAGGACGGUGGCCAUGGAAGUCGGAAUCCGCUAAGGAGUGUGUAACAACUCACCUGCCGAAGCAACUAGCUCUGAAAAUGGAUGGCGCUGGAGCGUCGUGCCUAUACUCGGCCGUCGGCGGCACAGUGGGGCCGGCCUCGGUCGGCCCCGGCAAGCCCCGACGAGUAGGAUGGCGCGGCGGUGUGCGUCGAAGGGCAGGUCGCGAGACCGCCUGGAGCCGCCGUCGGUGCAGAUCUUGGUGGUAGUAGCAAAUACUCGAGAGGGGCCCUCGGGGGCUGCCGUGGAGAAGGGUUUCUUGUGAACAGCCGUUGUCCAAGAGUCAGUCGAUCCUAAGCCCGGGGAGAGAUCCUCGUACCACGGGCGAAGGCGUUUUCGAAUCGCCCAUGGGGCGAGAGGGAAUCCGGUCCGUAUUCCGGAACCCGACGCGGAACCGCUCCCUAGUGUUCGGGGCUCUUUUGUCUCGUCCGGGUAACCGGAAUGAACUCGAAGAAGCCGCCGGGGUGUCCGGGAAGAGUUCUCUUUUCUCUGUGAGCGUUGUACGUCCCUGGAAUCCUCUAGCCGGGCGAUAGGGACGCGAGCGCGAAGAGCACCGCUCGUUGCGGCGGUGUCCGUGACACCCACGCGGACCUUGAAAAUUCGAGAGAGGGCCACGCGGAGUCUUCGCGUCGGUUCGUACCGAUAUCCGCAGCAGGUCUCCGAGGUGAGCAGCCUCUAGCCGCAUAGAAUAAUGUAGGUAAGGGAAGUCGGCAAAACCGAUCCGUAACUUCGGGAUAAGGAUUGGCUCUGAGGAGCGUGGCGGAUCGGGUUCGGGUCGUCGUAGAAGCGUAGGCGGUGCUGGCGACACCCCGGCCGUCGCCCGUGCGGCCGGUCUUCGGACCGGCAGCCUCGAGG